rnacentral:rRNA from 1 species
CCUACGGGUGGCUGCAGUGGGGAAUAUUGGACAAUGGGGGGAACCCUGAUCCAGCCAUGCCGCGUGUGUGAAGAAGGCCCUCGGGUUGUAAAGCACUUUCAGUGAGGAAGAACGCCUGGUGGUUAAUACCCAUCAGGAAAGACAUCACUCACAGAAGAAGCACCGGCUAACUCCGUGCCAGCAGCCGCGGUAAUACGGAGGGUGCGAGCGUUAAUCGGAAUUACUGGGCGUAAAGCGCGCGUAGGUGGCUUGAUAAGCCGGUUGUGAAAGCCCCGGGCUCAACCUGGGAACGGCAUCCGGAACUGUCAAGCUAGAGUGCAGGAGAGGAAGGUAGAAUUCCCGGUGUAGCGGUGAAAUGCGUAGAGAUCGGGAGGAAUACCGGUGGCGAAGGCGGCCUUCGGGACUGACACUGACGCUGAGGUGCGAAAGCGUGGGUAGCGAACAGGAUUAGAUACCCGUGUAGUC